rnacentral:ncRNA from 2 species
ACAUUAUAUCUGGGGUGCCAUUUGGCUGAGAUAAAACCCAUUGAACCUGAUCCGGUUAAUACCGGCGAAGGGAGAUACGUAACCGGAAUC